rnacentral:ncRNA from 1 species
ACUUGACUAACUUCGGUUAGACAACCCAACGACAAGGAGAUUAACAUG